GAUGAACGCUGGCGGCGUGCCUAAUACAUGCAAGUCGAGCGAACGGACGAGAAGCUUGCUUCUCUGAUGUUAGCGGCGGACGGGUGAGUAACACGUGGAUAACCUACCUAUAAGACUGGGAUAACUUCGGGAAACCGGAGCUAAUACCGGAUAAUAUUUUGAACCGCAUGGUUCAAAAGUGAAAGACGGUCUUGCUGUCACUUAUAGAUGGAUCCGCGCUGCAUUAGCUAGUUGGUAAGGUAACGGCUUACCAAGGCAACGAUGCAUAGCCGACCUGAGAGGGUGAUCGGCCACACUGGAACUGAGACACGGUCCAGACUCCUACGGGAGACAGCAGUAGGGAAUCUUCCGCAAUGGGCGAAAGCCUGACGGAGCAACGCCGCGUGAGUGAUGAAGGUCUUCGGAUCGUAAAACUCUGUUAUUAGGGAAGAACAUAUGUGUAAGUAACUGUGCACAUCUUGACGGUACCUAAUCAGAAAGCCACGGCUAACUACGUGCCAGCAGCCGCGGUAAUACGUAGGUGGCAAGCGUUAUCCGGAAUUAUUGGGCGUAAAGCGCGCGUAGGCGGUUUUUUAAGUCUGAUGUGAAAGCCCACGGCUCAACCGUGGAGGGUCAUUGGAAACUGGAAAACUUGAGUGCAGAAGAGGAAAGUGGAAUUCCAUGUGUAGCGGUGAAAUGCGCAGAGAUAUGGAGGAACACCAGUGGCGAAGGCGACUUUCUGGUCUGUAACUGACGCUGAUGUGCGAAAGCGUGGGGAUCAAACAGGAUUAGAUACCCUGGUAGUCCACGCCGUAAACGAUGAGUGCUAAGUGUUAGGGGGUUUCCGCCCCUUAGUGCUGCAGCUAACGCAUUAAGCACUCCGCCUGGGGAGUACGACCGCAAGGUUGAAACUCAAAGGAAUUGACGGGGACCCGCACAAGCGGUGGAGCAUGUGGUUUAAUUCGAAGCAACGCGAAGAACCUUACCAAAUCUUGACAUCCUUUGACAACUCUAGAGAUAGAGCCUUCCCCUUCGGGGGACAAAGUGACAGGUGGUGCAUGGUUGUCGUCAGCUCGUGUCGUGAGAUGUUGGGUUAAGUCCCGCAACGAGCGCAACCCUUAAGCUUAGUUGCCAUCAUUAAGUUGGGCACUCUAAGUUGACUGCCGGUGACAAACCGGAGGAAGGUGGGGAUGACGUCAAAUCAUCAUGUCCCUUAUGAUUUGGGCUACACACGUGCUACAAUGGACAAUACAAAGGGCAGCGAAACCGCGAGGUCAAGCAAAUCCCAUAAAGUUGUUCUCAGUUCGGAUUGUAGUCUGCAACUCGACUACAUGAAGCUGGAAUCGCUAGUAAUCGUAGAUCAGCAUGCUACGGUGAAUACGUUCCCGGGUCU
rnacentral:rRNA from 1 species